AGCAGCCGCGGUAAUUCCAGCUCCAAUAGCGUAUAUUAAAGUUGUUGCAGUUAAAAAGCUCGUAGUUGAAUUUCGGGAUCAAUACGUCGGUCGUGCUUCGGUACGUACUGGCGUCAUUGGUUUCUCCCUUCUGACGAACCAUGAUGUCAUUAAUUUGGUGUUAUGGGAAAUCAGGACUGUUACUUUGAAAAAAUUAGAGUGUUUAAAGCAGGCUCACGCUUGAAUACAUUAGCAUGGAAUAAUGAAAUAGGACGUUUGAUUCUAUUUUGUGGUUUCUAGGAUCGAUGUAAUGAUUAAUAGGGAUAGUUGGGG
rnacentral:rRNA from 1 species